rfam:Lepisosteus oculatus linkage group LG2, whole genome shotgun sequence.
GUCUCUGCGGUGCAAUCGGUUAGUGCGUUUGGCUGUUAACUGAAAGGUUUGUGGUUCGAACCCACCCAGGGAUG